rnacentral:rRNA from 1 species
UACGUAGGGGGCAAGCGUUGUCCGGAUUUAUUGGGCGUAAAGAGCGUGUAGGCGGCUUGGAAGGUCAGCUGUGAAAACUCGAGGCUCAACCUCGAGACGUCGGUUGAAACCACCUGGCUAGAGUCCGGAAGAGGAGAGUGGAAUUCCCGGUGUAGAGGUGAAAUUCGUAGAUAUUGGGAAGAAAAACGGUGGAGAAGGCGGCUAUCUGGACAGACAUUGAAGCUGAGGAGAGAAAGACAGGGGAGAAAAAGGG